GACGAACGCUGGCGGCGUGCCUAACACAUGCAAGUCGAGCGGAGUUGACAAGAGGAAGUUUUCGGAUGGAAUCUUGCCAGCUUAGCGGCGGACGGGUGAGUAACGCGUGAGCGACCAACCUUGCACAGGGGGAUAACGGACCGAAAGGUUCACUAAUACCGCAUGAGACCACGGUGUUGCAUGACACAGAGGUCAAAGGAGCAAUCCGGUGCAAGACGGGCUCGCGUCCGAUUAGGUAGUUGGUGGGGUAAUGGCCCACCAAGCCUAUGAUCGGUAGCCGACCUGAGAGGGUGAUCGGCCACAUUGGAACUGAGAUACGGUCCAAACUCCUACGGGAGGCAGCAGUGGGGAAGAUUGGGCAAUGGGGGAAACCCUAACCCAGCAACGCCGCGUGAAGGAAGAAGGUUUUCGGAUUGUAAACUUCUGUCCUUGGUGAAGAGAAGAAGACGGUAGCCAAGGAGAAAGCCCCGGCUAACUACGUGCCAGCCGCCGCGGUAA
rnacentral:rRNA from 1 species